CUCCCCGACAUUUGCAGGGAGUGGUGCAUUUCCAGGCAGCUGUGGUGGGGCCAUCGCAUCCCAGCCUACUUUGUCACUGUCAGUGACCCAGCGGUGCCCCCUGGGGAGGUGAGCAGAGGGCCAGAGCUAGCUGCUGGGACACCCUGCUGGAGUGGACCCUGAUGGGCGGUACUGGGUGAGUGGACGCAAUGAGGCGGAGGCCCGGGAGAAGGCAGCCAAGGAGUUCGGAGUGUCCCCUGACAAGAUCAGUCUCCAGCAAGAUGAGGAUGUAUUGGAUACCUGGUUCUCCUCUGGCCUCUUCCCCUUAUCCAUUUUGGGCUGGCCCAACCAGUCAGAAGACCUGAGUGUGUUCUACCCCGGGACACUGCUGGAGACCGGUCAUGACAUCCUCUUCUUCUGGGUGGCCCGGAUGGUCAUGCUGGGCCUGAAGCUCACGGGCAGGCUGCCCUUUAGAGAGGUCUACCUCCAUGCCAUCGUGCGAGAUGCUCACGGCCGGAAGAUGAGCAAGUCUCUAGGCAAUGUCAUCGAUCCCCUGGACGUCAUCUAUGGAAUCUCCCUGCAGGGCCUCCACAACCAGCUGCUGAACAGCAACCUGGAUCCCAGCGAGGUGGAGAAGGCCAAAGAAGGGCAGAAAGCUGACUUCCCAGCGGGGAUUCCUGAAUGUGGCACCGAUGCUCUCCGGUUUGGAUUAUGUGCCUACAUGUCCCAGGGUCGUGACAUCAACCUGG
rnacentral:misc_RNA from 1 species